rnacentral:antisense_RNA from 1 species
AAUGCCUCAGGACUGGAGGUCCUCCCACUCUGCUGAUGUGGGAGACCCCCCACGUGGGGACUGCCAGUAUACCGCUUCCCUUCGGGCUGGCCAGUCCUCAAGUAGAGACACUGAGGUAGGGCAAGCGCAUCUACGGGGAAGAGCGCUGCCUCGGGCGUUAAUGGGAGAGAGAGCUGAGGCAGAAGGGGGAUCGGAACUCCCGCUCCAGAAGCGUGAAGGUGGGGGUUUAUGAGAGCAUCCACCCAGAACCUUGCAGGAAAAAGUUGCUUUGCACAUGGGUGACCCCGCAGGCCACAUCAUCCACACAUCCAUACGCCGCCCCGUAGGUAAGGGGUCCGGGCCUCCAAGACAGGAGACUCAGCUCUAGGAGGACGGCCACCACCUCUGGCUCAGUCACAUUUGGUCCCCAGAUUCUGGCAACCCUGGGUAAAAGCUCAGUCACCUGACCUAGUGACGACCACAAGGGCACUGGGAGGCAUCCCAAGACCCAGCUCACUCCAGGGCUGGACCUCAACCUUGUACCUGCAGGACCACCCACCAGGAGACAGAAGAGAGAAAACUGUAUAUGAAGACAAGGAUUUCUCCAGAAGAGACCAGGAGCAAGUAUAAGGACUGGAGGAAUAAAAUGGGCUAUGGAACACAGGCAGAUGAAGCAAAUCACCCACCCCUCAAUGCCUGCUCAGCAAGCAUCCACACCUAGGAAAGGGCCCCAAAGUAUUCCUCUGAAGCGUGGGAAAGGUCUGGUAAUUACAGGCACAGAUUAUACAGGACAGCUCAAUGUCAGCAGAACUCACAUAAACAGGAUGAACAUGGUCUACAAGAGUCUGACCUAAGCUGUGCUCCCAGGACAGAGCAGGGGCAAUUACGGGUGGAGCUCCUGCCUAGAAGGCCAGUGGGUAGGGGCCUCUGAUCCUGGGAUAUGAUGCCUCAAUGUGGGCUCUGAUCAAUUUAAAGAUUUCUUAUCAUGGGUGAAAACCCUACUAAAUUUUUUUUUUUUUUUUUUUGAGACAGAGUCGCUGUUGCCCAGGCUGGAGUGCAGUGGCGUGAUCUCGGCUCACUGCAACCUCUUCCUGCCAGGUUCUAGCAAUUCUCCUGCCUCAGCUUCCUGACUAGCUGGGAUUACAGGCACACGCUGCCACGUCCAGUUAAUAUUUUGUAUUUUAGUAGAGAUGGGGUUUCACCGUGUUGCCCAGGCUGGUCUCAAACUUCUGGGCUCAGGUAAUCCACCCUCCUCGGCCUCCCAAAGUGCUGGGAUUACAGGUGUGAGCUCAUGCCUGUAAUCUGCCCCUUCAUGCUAAGGUAAAGCUGCUCCUGGCUCCCAGGCUCUAUGAGUGCUCUGAUCUCAUCUCUGGAACCAGCCUGUAAGCCUGGCAAACAUCAAGACCUGACCCCACUGCUUACCUCAAUGGGAGCCGUAAUGCCUUGACACUUUCGUCCCAAGCCAGAGCCUUCCCGCCAGCCCAUGGCCUGCAGCAUCUUGUUGCCAAUGUUACUGUGGUCAAUGCCAUCUUUGGUGGGUUGCUCGUAAUUCCUGCCAGUGGCAAACACACAGUUACUUAAAACAGCCAGGGCCCCAGCUUACGAACUGGAAAAUGUGCACAUCACAUACACAGUGCCGGCAUCAAACUGCUUCUUGCGCUUGGGCUCUGGAGGUUCUGGAAUGCCAUACUUCUCCCGUCUUUCUGCAGCUCGGUCUCGGUAUUUCAUCUACAUGAGAGAAAAAACACUGCUGGAAAUGUUCACAGACUUCAACCUGUAACCGUCUAAUGCACCUAUUCAAAACUAUCCCCUCAAGUAUUUUUGAAUCUGAAGAAUGCUUUUUUAAGACUGCUCUGAAAUACCAAAUUCCCUUGUUCCCAUCAUCAUACCUAGUCAUAUCUGAAAUGUUAAAUUUGUAGAUAUGAAUUGUGUGGAACCAGGGGCAGAACUAUGUCUCCAACAAGCAGUUUUAUUUAAUUAGCCACCCUCUGUCAAGCUACUCAACCAGCCCACUGGGCAGUGGGUACAGCUUGCGAAGAGGAAGGCAGAGUUGCCCGUUCUCCUCAGCAUUUGGACAGGCAUACCUCCAACAUUUGGAAAGGCAUACCUCCAACAUUUGGAAAGGCAUACCUCCAACAUCAAGGAGGCUUCCAGAGACCUGUUCAGCAGUCGCUGGGGAGGUGGAACCAUAGAUAGUAGGGCAGGAAGGGUGUGGGGAGAAGAAAAGCAAAAGCCUUAACUACAAACACUUCAGAAAUAUCUCAGGUGGGAGAUUUCAAACCCACUUGCUCAUUUCUAAACCACAGGCCUCUAUUUGCAUUUAAAUCCCUGCCCACCUGGCCGCCAACCUGCCCCAACCACCAGCACUAACUGCUUGCCCAUUAUUGUGUCACAGGCUUCUCUCUUGCCUUUGUUCCCAGAUCUGCUUGCCAUGCCCUGCCCACCCUUCCUUUCAUAUCACCUGCAAUAACCUCACAUCCUGCUGUCCCUUGGGAUUAAUUUGAAGCGCACUUCUUUGCCCAUGAAGGCUUCCCUGGCCAGGACAAACUAGACCACUCUCUCCAUAACAAAAUCCAGCGUAUUUAAGCAGCAAGCUCUGGCAUUGCUGUGAGAGAGUCUCGGCAGUGUGCUUCUGCCUUGUGCACCCUUAUGAUGAAGGGACAAUGUGAGGCUCACAAGGCACACAGAGGCUGGGUCUAGGCUACAUGAACUACAAUGGUCAGAUGACAAGGGUAUGACAAAUCCUCCUACCCUGCCCCUGGGAUCUGGAACUAAAUGCUACAAAUAAAAGCUAAAGGCGAUU